rnacentral:rRNA from 1 species
AGAGUUUGAUCCUGGCUUAGAUUGAACGCUGGCGGCAUGCCUUACACAUGCAAGUCGAACGGCAGCACGGGUGCUUGCACCUGGUGGCGAGUGGCGAACGGGUGAGUAAUACAUCGGAACGUGUCCUGUAGUGGGGGAUAGCCCGGCGAAAGCCGGAUUAAUACCGCAUACGAUCUACGGAUGAAAGCGGGGGAUCUUCGGACCUCGCGCUAUAGGGGCGGCCGAUGGCGGAUUAGCUAGUUGGUGGGGUAAAGGCUCACCAAGGCGACGAUCCGUAGCUGGUCUGAGAGGACGACCAGCCACACUGGGACUGAGACACGGCCCAGACUCCUACCGGAGGCAGCAGUGGGGAAUUUUGGACAAUGGGCGAAAGCCUGAUCCAGCAAUGCCGCGUGUGUGAAGAAGGCCUUCGGGUUGUAAAGCACUUUUGUCCGGAAAGAAAUCCCUGGUCCUAAUAUGGCCGGGGGAUGACGGUACCGGAAGAAUAAGCACCGGCUAACUACGUGCCAGCAGCCGCGGUAAUACGUAGGGUGCAACGU